rnacentral:rRNA from 1 species
GACAUGAAAGACUAGUGUUAUUCAUCUUUAAAGUAGGUUUAAAGGGUACUUAGACGGUAUUUCCAGCCAAAAAAGGAUACCGGGAUUUAACCUAGAGUUUUAAUGUGAGAAGGGUGAGUAUUUUAGGUGUAGAGAUGAAAUUUUUUAAUACCUUAAGGACUGAUAACAGCGAAAGACAAACCUUUCUAUGUAAUAAACCUGACG